rnacentral:lncRNA from 1 species
GGGGUAUUGGCAAGAAACAACUUUAUAUUACACUCACAAAGAAGAAACAAACUGGGAGUAUAGCUACCUACUUCUAAACAUUUGAGUAUUGGAACAUUCAUCCAUCAACUUGUUCUUGCAAAGGUUGGCUCUGUAUUUGUUCUUGCAAAGGUUGACUCUGUAUUUGUUCUUGCAAAGGUUGACUCUGUAUUUGUUCUUGCGAAGGUUGACUCUGUAUUUGUUCUUGCGACGGUUGACUCUGUAUUUCUUCUUGCAAGGGUUGACUCUGCAUCACGGCAAGAAACAGAUCAACAAUCUUCCAAUUUGAGAAAUGUUUGUAAGAGACAGAAAUACAUGGUUAUGACAUGAAAACAUGAGAAAAUCAAGAAAGAAGAAGCAUGCGACAACUAACAACUCUCAUUCCACAAGAGUGCUUCUAUACCUAGUGCUUUUAAAGUAUAAAGUGCAAUAGUCUUCCGGGGUUUAGGCACAAUGUGUGAAGGAAAAAAAGGUUCUUUUUGUGAGGCACACUAAUGCAAUAGUACAUAAAGGGAAAGCAUAGUUGAAGUAAAAAUAUGAAGAAAAAAAACAAAAAACAAAGACCUAAACACAAGAAAUUUGCAUUUAGGUUUACUAAUAUUGACUUUUUUUAGUUAAUAAAGGAAAACCCUAAUAAUUACUAUUUUAAAAAAAAAUGAAAAAGACUCAAGCACUUGAGCCACGCCUUAUUUUGUGAGCCUCGCUUUUUUAAGGAAAAACGAGGCACCAAAUCUGUAUCUUACCCUUAGGCGCACCAUUUGCACCUUGCAUCUAAGUGCACGGCCCAGAGAGCUAUUAAAACACUGACCGUACAACAGGCCAACUUCAAGUGGAUUACGCACAUCCACUUUAAUGGAGAAAUCAAAUGAUAUUCUUUAUGGAUUACAAACAUCAUAGCAAUAGAGUGCCUUCAAUUGACACAUAUCCUAAAUGGAUGAAUUAACAAACAGAAGACCACCGAUUUAAAGGGAUGAAAAAUAAAUAGCAAGCUACGACCAACAAAGAUCUUAGAAUAAAUGGG